rnacentral:rRNA from 1 species
AUUGAACGCUGGCGGCAGGCUUAACACAUGCAAGUCGAGCGGGGGAGGUUGCUUCGGUAACUGACCUAGCGGCGGACGGGUGAGUAAUGCUUAGGAAUCUGCCUAUUAGUGGGGGACAACAUUCCGAAAGGGAUGCUAAUACCGCAUACGCCCUACGGGGGAAAGCAGGGGAUCUUCGGACCUUGCGCUAAUAGAUGAGCCUAAGUCGGAUUAGCUAGUUGGUGGGGUAAAGGCCUACCAAGGCGACGAUCUGUAGCGGGGCUGAGAGGAUGAUCCGCCACACUGGACUGAGACACGGCCCAGACUCCUACGGGAGGCAGCAGUGGGGAAUAUUGGACAAUGGGCGGAAGCCUGAUCCAGCCAUGCCGCGUGUGUGAAGAAGGCCUUUUGGUUGUAAAGCACUUUAAGCGAGGAGGAGGCUCUUAAGGUUAAUACCCUUGAUGAGUGGACGUUACUCGCAGAAUAAGCACCGGCUAACUCUGUGCCAGCAGCCGCGGUAAGAC